AUAAGCGCUUACAAUGCUAAUGUUUGUGUAAACUCUUCACAGUUGUGUUCUGUGGGUGCCAAGACUCAUAGGUAUGGCGCCAAUAUUGAUGAAAACUCAGUACAUACAUGUAUAAAUAUGCCCCAAUGCAAUUCUGAUGUCUGACACAUCCACAGUGCAAUUUCAACUGAUUUGUUCUUUUUUCAAAUGAACAAAUUAUUGUAUUUUGUUGAAUAUAUAUACUGUAUAUAUAACAUGCCAUUGUCACCCUUGUUUAGCAUGAUCGAGUCUGUGUCUUGAUUCCACUAUUUGUAUCAGUUUACAUGUUGCAAUGAGGGACUUUUCAUUUUAAAGCAAACCACCGAUUCCACUAUUUUUGUUCACGAUAAUGUGGUUCAUGACACACGUGUGCCCACUGACUGAAUAUAAUGUUCCCAAAACGAUUAGCCUCAACUCCAAAAUAACUAUGCAUUAUGAAAGUAUUUGCGUAUCCUAUUCGCACAUUGCAUAGCUCAAACUGGAUAUCCAUUCAGCUGCAGAAUUUUUAACGUUGUAGAUUCAUUCACGUCUUUGUGCGAAUCUGAAAAAAGGGAAGUCAAUAUACAGCAUUUCCGGUGUGAAGAAAUCAACCACCACUAUGGCGCCAUCCAGUGUUUUCAGCUUCAGACACAAGCCGACAUGUAGGCUAGUUGUCAUAAACAACUACAGGACGGGAACGCUGACUUGUAAUAAUGAUGUUAUAAGCACAUGUCAAACGGUAAUUCGCUCAGGGAGAACGAGCAAUAUUUGUCACAUAUCGAGGGGAGCACCAGCACCAGGGUCUGACUGACAAGAGACCGAAUCUGAGAACCAUCGACCUUCACGCAAAAUUCGAAAACAGAAAGGGAAGGCAACUGGUGGUGGGUCAGAAGAGACUCCCUUAUCCUCGGUGUCAUAUGCUAGUCGACUAGUAUUUUUUUUUUCAAUUUAAAGUUUUAUUAAGUUUUCUUGUUUUUCAAUCAACCAACAAAACACAUUCCACAUUCACACAUGUGACAGGCAUAAAAAGACUAGUAUUUUUUAAUGCAUUUUUAAAAAUUGAACUAGGCAAGCCAGUUAAGAGCAAAUUUCCAAAGACGGCCAAACCCGGACGACGCUGGGACCAUUGUGCGCCGCCCUAUGGGGACUCCCAAUCACGGCCGGAUGUGAUACAGCCUGGAUUCGGUCUAGGUACUGUAGUGACGCCUCUUGCACGAUGCAAGACCGCUGCGCCACUCGGGAGCCUGGUAUGUGAUUGCGGCAAGUGUCCACACUGCCAAAAGAGGUUCAUCGAGCUGCGACAGUUCACUCAGCAGCUGAGUAAUAUUCACCCCAACGUUCUGGCCAAGCACCUUCAAAGAGGUCUGAUUCUCCCACACCCAGAGCUCGCUGUCAUCAAUAAGCCAUAUGGAGCUUCUGCUCAAGCAUUGCUGCUGUUGCCUGUUCCCUCUGAGGGGAUGAUUUGACAACCCUCAUAGAGAGAUAAUUCCCCUGGGCUCAGGCUCACUUCAAGGUAAUGAACUGCUUUCAAACAAUAAAUCAUAAGCUUCUUACCAAAUGCUGGCAAUGGCUGUAGUCUUCUAGUGACACAUUGACAGUAGAGUGCACAACUCCUGUUAUGUUUAUAUCGGUGACAUUCAGCAGAUACUGCAAUGUCCUUCGGGUUUUGAAGUUAGCAUCUGUUAUAGAUUCUAUAUUUGUACGUAAUGUAUUGUGUAAUUGUAUAUACCUAACGGCCCAUAAUCCCUCUCAGAUAGGCCUGAGUCCUGUGUACAGGGUGAGUGUCGGCGGCGAGGGAGUGACUAACGUGCAGGCCUAUCGGCAGGCCCAGGGGGCAGUGACACAGUACGCGUCCUGGUCAGCAGCAAUGGCUGCAGCCUUGUGGAGCUCCAGCCCAUCACAGGGGUGAGGAUCCACACCCCAGCAUACACUCUGGGGUGUCAUAUCCUUGGGGACCACAAAAACUUCCACCUUAGAAAUUACUGGAUGGUUUGUUACCGAGCCUGGGAUUGAAACAAAGCAAGGCACGUCGCCUUCUUCCCUAACCUUGUACGCAUGUCAGCUGACACUGCCAGUGAUAUCACUGUGUCCUGCCCCCUGCUGAAGUACUUCACCACCAGCACCCUGCGACGACUGCAGAUCCCCAUUCCAGAUAAGAGGAUGAAUGGUGGAGCGGCAUCACUUCAAGUGACCUUUGACCUAAUGGUUGUUCCAAGAGCUAAGGCCUGACUGAAAUUCUUAAAAAGCCACACACACUCAUUCACAGUACAAAGGCACGUUUGGGGGGAA